UACGUAGGGUGCAAGCGUUAUCCGGAAUUAUUGGGCGUAAAGAGCUCGUAGGCGGUUUGUCGCGUCUGCUGUGAAAACUGGAGGCUCAACCUCCAGCCUGCAGUGGGUACGGGCAAACUAGAGUGCGGUAGGGGAGAUUGGAAUUCCUGGUGUAGCGGUGAAAUGCGCAGAUAUCAGGAGGAACACCAGGUGGCGAAGGCGGUCUCA
rnacentral:rRNA from 1 species